GUGUUUGUAGUUUAAUUAAAACGUUAGAUUGUGAUUCUAAAAAUAAAAGUUGAAACCUUUUUAUUCACC
rnacentral:tRNA from 1 species